AUGCGGCGCUGGCGGGGCGCGGGGCUGGCGGCGCUGGCCGCGGUGCUGCUCGUGGCUGCAGGCAGAGCCCAGGUGCAGCAGGAGCCGUUGGCACAAACCCCCGAGGGCACGGAAAUCACCAUCAACUGCUCACACCCCAACAUAGGGACUGGUGACUAUAUCCACUGGUACCGUCAGCUCCCGGGCCGCGGCCCCGAAUUCCUCGCACUUAUUGUUCGAGGCUCCAAAGAUCUGCCGGACAAGGUGGGACAGGUGUCGGUGUCACCAGACCGUCGCUGGAGCACCCUCUGGCUCUCCGGGCCCCGUGCUGGGGACGCGGCGGUGUAUUACUGCGCCGUGGGAGACACGGCCAGAGGAGCCGGGGCUGCGGCCGGGCACGAACCGCCGCGGGCGGGGCCGGGCGGGGCCGGGGGCACAGCGCCGGCCGGGGACAGCAAGACACAUGCUGCAAAUCCCACCUGAGCUCAGGUUCACUGACACUAUUGUCUUUGGAGCUUUUUAUUGUGUCUACAGCUGAGCAAAGAAACAUCCCUGCGAAAAUGGCAUUUCACUCCUACCUAAAGCACAGGUUUGUGACAGAAUGUCUGGGUGCCAAGUGACAUACACAGCACAGCACAGGUCUGGGCAUACUCCAGUCAGCUGCAAUGUGUGUCCCUGACUUCUCCUGAGAAAUCGUCUCCUGGAUAUUCUGAUCCAUUCCGGGCAGGCACCGAGAUUCUCUGGUUCAUGAGGAUCUUUUGUUUGGGUAGGGGGAGAAUUCUGACGUUGCCCGCAGUGUGGAAAAGGGACAGACAGACAGACAGACAGUGAAACCAGCCUUUUUGGGCCGAAAUCAGCAGCAGCGGAGCGAGAGCUGUGGAGGGACAGGAAGAGAAGGGCUCCGGAGACAGGAGCUGCAUUUCUCUGCCUCUCCCGGGACACAGCUGUAGGGGGCAGGUGCCGUCACCACUCAGCUGCACCCACGCUCCUUCUGACCCUGGCAACGUGCUGCGUUGUGGAGUUCAGGGCCAGAGCAGAGGACGAUAUCCCUGGAAUAGGAAAUCUCAACAACACCCAUGAACUUCCCAUGAGGGUGUUGCGAUCUGCUUAAAUAUUGCAGAAAGUGGUUUUAGAUUCGAAUA